rnacentral:misc_RNA from 1 species
GUUGCAAUUGCUGCUGCUGCUGCUGCUGCUGGUUGUUGUUGUUGCUGAACGGGUUGUACGUGCAGUUCUGCGUCUCGGCGUUGCAGCACUCCGGGCCACACGGAAUAUAGCUCGAGUUCGAUACGUUGCCGGUCGUGCCGCUCAGCGAGUUCGACACAUACCCGUAGGUCUGGCACACGUACUCGGUCAUCGGCUGGAAGCACUCGUUGCUGAGCCCCAGGCAGCAACCAGCCUCCAGACACUGCUGCGGCGAGUAGCUCGUGCGCUGCGUCCCGUGCUGCUCUCCGUACAGAAGCGUGUUCAGCAGACGCACAAACUGGUUGUUGUUGAUGUUAUUGUUCAGCUGCUGGUUCUGAUUCACCGCGUUCGUGCACGGCUGGCGCUCAAACUCGCCCACCGCGCACGUCUUCUCGGGCUGGAAGCAGUACGGGUUCGACGCAAAGUCGCUCUGCUGCUUGCCGUUCUGCACCCACUGGUUCUGCGCCUGCGAGUCGUAGCAGCAGCCCUGGGCAUAGCACGUAAACUGGUUGAUGCCCGCGUUGCCGCACGGCUGGCGCUGCGCUCCCGGUGACGGGCAGAGGGGAACCGGUGCCUGCACCUCCUGCAGCGCUACAGAGGCCUGCGGUGCAUGGUUGAUGUCGUAGUAGCACCAGGGUGCCAGGAUGCCGUUCGCCGUUGGCUGCCAGCAGCAUCCCGGUAUCGCAGUGCACUCGUCGGGGUAGAUGUAGCUCCAGCCGCAGGGGACGCGCUGCGUCACUGGAACAGCGCUGCAGGCCGCUGAGACGCUCUUCAGGGUGCACGCGUUCGUCUGGGAGUUAAAGCAGCACCCGACUUGCUCGCAAGCGUCCCGGUUUGUGUACUGGCCCGGAGAACCGCAGAUUUCACUCGUGCAAACUGGUGUUGGCGUUGCACUCGGUGUCGGGGUUAUAAUAGCAAGUGUCGCACCAGAGGGUAGAAUUGUAGAAAGCUGGUCGGUGAAAGUUUGAAGCACACUUUGCGCAUCACUGGCGAGGGAUGUGUCUCCUGAGAUCUUAAUCACAUAGGUCACAACACUGCCGCCCGACGUGCGCACCAAUGCUCGUUCCAGACGAGGAUUGCUCUUGUCUAAUGUGGUGGCGAGGCGCCUUGAUGUGCCCGAACCGAAGACCGUGUCGCAGUUAUCAGUCACGCUGACAUUCACUACCAGGCCCGUGAAGCGAGCCUCGAGAUCGUUCUGCAAAUCCGUCGCCACGGCCAAACAAAGAGAAAGAUUCUGAACGGAUAUCGCAAUCGAGGUGGCAAUCGUCGUCGGCACGAUUGUUGGUGACGUUGUUGCAGUUGGAGUCAUCGUCGGUGUCAUCGUCACUGUCGUUGGAGACGCUGUUACAGUAAUCGUUGGCGAUGAUGUAAUUGUCGGAGUCAUCGUCGCAAUCGGUGUCGGAGUUGCCGUAGAAGUCGCCGUCGCAGUCGCAGUCGCAGUCGCAGUCGCAGUCGCAGUCGGUGUCGCAGUCGGUGUCGGUGUCGGUGUCGCAGUCGGUGUCGCAGUCGGUGUCGCAGUCGGUGUCGCAGUCGGUGUCGCAGUCGGUGUCGCAGUCGGUGUCGCAGUCGGUGUCGCAGUCGGUGUCGCAGUCGGUGUCGCAGUCGGUGUAGGUGUCGGUGUCGCAGUCGGUGUCGCAGUCGGUGUCGCAGUCGGUGUCGCAGUCGGUGUCGCAGUCGGUGUCGCAGUCGGUGUCGCAGUCGGUGUCGUAGUCGUAGUCGUAGCCGAUGGAGGUGUCGGUGUCGGUGUCGGUGUCGGUGUCGUAGUCGUAGUCGUAGCCGAUGGAGGUGUCGGUGUCGGUGUCGGUGUCGGUGUCGGUGUCGUAGCCGAUGGAGGUGUCGGUGUCGGUGUCGGUGUCGUAGCCGAUGGAGGUGUCGGUGUAGGUGUAGGUGUAGGUGUCGGUGUCGCAGUCGGUGUCGCAGUCGCAGUCGGUGUAGGUGUCACAGUCGCUGCCCGUACGAGAGACGCGAACACACUGCAAAGUAUGAAACAAAUAAUAAAUAGCGAAGGCUUCAUCCGAAAGCCUUGACCUCCUGGGCGGCCUCUACGUAUAUUGCUCUCCAAAAAUACCAUGAGCGUAGCAAAUCC